CCUUAACCCUCCUCCAGUAACACAACGCUGUGCUUUCACGCAAACGAGUGCAGCGUGAUCCACGGGCCCGCGUGGCUCAGUCUCCCCUCCUUCUGUUCAGUCAGCGCUCGCUGGGAAGAACCGAACUGUCACUGCUGUUUCCCAUCCUGAGCUGUGACGCCGGUGAACAACACGACCGCAAAUGGACGACGCAGUCAUCAAAAAACCAAUUGUGAUACCAGACGACUGGCCCGGUUACAGCCUGGAGCUGUUUUCUUACCCUGAACACUACCAUGAAGACAUAGACAGUGUUUACAUACCACAUGGGGUCAUCAUGAACAGGGUGGAGCGCCUGGCGCGCUACGUCAUGGACGACUUUGGGGACAGCAUCGUGGUGCUGUGCGUCUUGAAGGGAGGCUACAAGUUCUGUGUGGACCUGGUGGAGUUCAUCAAGGUCCUCGGCCGCAACUCCAACAAGUACCUGGAGACCCGGGUGGAGUUCAUCCGUCUGAAGAGCUACUUAAACGACCAAUCAACAGAGGAGCUGCAGAUCAUAGGAAGCCGAGAUCUGUCUUUCCUGCGCGGAAAGAGUGUGCUCAUUGUUGAGGCCAUAGUUGACACAGGAAAGACCAUGAAGGCCCUUCUGAAGCACGUGGAGACCUUUGAACCCAAGAUGGUCAAGGUCGCGGGUCUGCUGGUGAAGAGGGUCCCCAACAUGGCAGAAGAUCUGACGGACUAUGUUGGAUUUGAGAUCCCCAACCACUUUGUUGUUGGUUAUGCGUUGGACUACAACGAGUACUUCCGCGACCUGAACGUAAGUCGCCCGCUGCACCCGGACGUGACCUUUAACAGAGCUAAGAGAUGAAAGAGGCCCGAGGGAGUGGAGGGGUAAACACAGCAACAAAAGGUGAUGCGCUCGACCAGCUGAAAGCCAAACUCACCCGACAGGUAAACUCUGUGCUCUGCAGCAGGGCAGAGCAGCUCAAAUCCAAUAUCUCUGUCAGGGUGACCAAUUUUAUUUCGUCUGAUUUUCUAUAGAUACAGUGAUGAUAGUGUUGUUAUUUGCAAUUAUUGUGGCCACCAUCAUGCUUUUUCUUAUUGCUGUAUUGAAAAUCUAAUAUUGUGACAGACCCAGCUGUACUUACUACAGCUAGUAUGUAGUACAGCUAGUAAUUAGCAAAUGUUAGCAUGCUAGCACACUAAACUCAGACGCUGAACAUUAGCCGCUAAGCAUCAGCACGCCAGCUAUGUCCGUGUGCCGGUGUUAGCAUUUAGCUCAGGUUUUAGCCCUCAUGAAAAACCUACUGGGGUCAAAGUGAAAUGAUCACUUUCACCAUUUCUUCUCUUAUUUUUACAUUCCUCCACCAAGCAAAUAAAUCAUCCCCCUUUUUCCUCCCGAAAAGAAAGUCUGUCUUUUCUCCUCUAAACAUUUCCCUGGUGCCUCAAACCCGUCUUAAACCUCCACGACAUUUGCGCCAGGAGUGCAACCAAUCUUUUCUUUGCUGCACCCAUGACACCUUAGUUCAUGCCAGAUUUCUCAGCCUGAAAAUUAGUGAGCGUAAACUUAUGUGAACUUCUUAUGUGAAGAUGUGGCCUCAAAUCUACCUCUGAUUCAUGAGGAACACGAUGCCAGGACCGACUCCCAUAGUGUGUGUGUGUGUAAUAUAUGUACUGUACGGUUGUGUGUGUGUGUGUGUGUUGGAGGGGGCUGGUAUUCUGUACGAAAGUUAGGAAAGGGGGGGGGGGGCGACCUGUGGAAUGUGGAGGUUAGUGUCUCAUUAUCGGCCAGGGUUAAAGCUUCCCUUCUUAUCUCUCCUUAUCCGACCGAAGAAAUAUGAGUUGAACCUUUGUGACGCCCAAAGUUAGAUUAAUGAAUGUGUCAUAACUUUGAUUACCUUUCCUGCUUUGAAAUGAUUGCGGGCUACAUAUUUUUGUACCGCAUAUAACAUGUUGAGAACAUACUGGAACUCCCCAUAGGGCCGGGGGGGGGGGGGUAGAACAAAUAUUUUCUUGUCAUCAGAUGCAACGUUUUCGGUGUAAUCUGAAAUUACGCACGCUGAUUUCUCUUCCUCUCUCAGCAUAUCUGCGUCAUCAGCAAGAUCGGGAAGAUGAAGUACAAGGUUUGAGAACAGGAACAAAGCAAUGGAUGAAUAAAACGGAGGCCACGCUGGCCGCCAGGAGAGGACUGCUGGUGACAGAUGGAGGCAGCUUAUGGACGUUGGCAUCGCUGUGCCCGGAUGACGCCCCCUCUGACUCAUGGAAAACACACAGCGUCUCCUCGCCACCCUGUGUCUGUUUGUUCACAACUUAAAUCAGCCCCGACUGGAAAUACAUGAGGAUUUUGUAAAAAAAAAAUAUGUCUGUUGAUUGUGAACUUUUUUAUAUGCAAACUCAAAGAUGUGACCUAUUAAAACUGGCUCCUUUAGGUAAA